CUUCAGAGCAGCAGCAGGAGAAGAUACACCUGCCAGUUUGUUGAUGGAAACACAGUGAAGAUAGAAGCUCACUACCAGCUGGAAGGUUCCACAGACUGGUCUCCUCUGAGCUUCAUCAUGUUGACUCUGAGGAUCACAGCACUGAUCCUGAUGGUUGGAAUCACUGCUGAUAUCAUCAGAACCAGAGGUUCUUGAUGCUGGAGACGAUGGAGAACGUUCUGCUGCUGCCACAAUCAGUUGACCUUCAACACAUCAAUACAGUUUAUACUAAAGACUUUAUUAUAUUUUGUACACUAUCUUAUUGUAUUUCCU